rnacentral:rRNA from 1 species
UACGAGGGGUGCAAGCGUUGCUCGGAAUUAUUGGGCGUAAAGGGUAGGUAGGUGGUCUCAUUUGUCAGGGGUGAAAUCCUUGGGCUUAACUCAAGAAGUGCCCCUGAAACGGUGAGACUGGAGUCCUGGAGAGGGUCGUGGAAUUCCCGGUGUAGCGGUGAAAUGCGUAGAGAUCGGGAGGAACACCAGAGGCGAAGGCGGCGACCUGGACAGGUACUGACACUCAACUACGAAAGCGUGGGGAGCAAACAGG